GACGAACGCUGGCGGCGUGCUUAACACAUGCAAGUCGAGCGGAGCGGCGAACGGGUGAGUAAAGCGUGAGUAACUGCCCCCCUCUCUGGGAUAACAGUUGGAAACGGCUGCUAAUACCGGAUAGUGUGGGAUGACUCGCGUCCUAUCAGCUUGUUGGUGGGGUAGUGGCCUACGAAGUCGACGACGGGCAGCCGGCCUGAGAGGGCGACCGGCCACAUUGGGCUGAGAGACGGCGCAAACGCCGACGGGAGGCAGCAGGGGGGAAUAUUGCACAAUGGGGGAAACCCUGAUGCAGCAACGCGGGGGCGGGAUGACGGUCUUCUGGUUGGAAACCGCUUUCAGCCAUGACGCGGUAGUGGCAGAAGAAGCACCGGCUAACUACGUGCCAGCAGCCGCGGUAAUAC
rnacentral:rRNA from 1 species